UACAGAGGUCCCGAGCGUUGUUCGGAUUCACUGGGCGUAAAGGGUGCGUAGGUGGUGAGGUAAGUCGGAUGUGAAAUCUCCGAGCUCAACUCGGAAAUGGCAUUGGAAACUACCUUGCUCGAGGGUUGGAGGGGGGACUGGAAUACUUGGUGUAGCAGUGAAAUGCGUAGAUAUCAAGUGGAACACCAGUGGCGAAGGCGGGUCUCUGGGCCGAUACUGACGCUGAGGAGCGAAAGCGUGGGGAGCGAACAGG
rnacentral:rRNA from 1 species